rnacentral:rRNA from 1 species
CGUGAGACAGGUGCUGCAUGGCUGUCGUCAGCUCGUGUUGUGAAAUGUUGGGUUAAGUCCCGCAACGAGCGCAACCCUUAUCCUUUGUUGCCAGCGGUCCGGCCGGGAACUCAAAGGAGACUGCCAGUGAUAAACUGGAGGAAGGUGGGGAUGACGUCAAGUCAUCAUGGCCCUUACGACCAGGGCUACACACGUGCUACAAUGGCGCAUACAAAGAGAAGCGACCUCGCGAGAGCAAGCGGACCUCAUAAAGUGCGUCGUAGUCCGGAUUGGAGUCUGCAACUCGACUCCAUGAAGUCGGAAUCGCUAGUAAUCGUGGAUCAGAAUGCCACGGUGAAUACGUUCCCGGGCCUUGUACACACCGCCCGUCACACCAUGGGAGUGGGUUGCAAAAGAAGUAGGUAGCUUAACCUUCGGGAGGGCGCUUACCACUUUGUGAUUCAUGACUGGGGUGAAGUCGUAACAAGGUAACCGUAGGGGAACCUGCGGUUGGAUCACCUCCUU